ACUGCUCAGUAACACGUGGACAACCUGCCCUUAGGACGGGGAUAAACCCGGGAAACUGGGUAUAAUACCCGAUAGGUCUCGAUUGCUGGAAUGCAUCGAGAUUUAAAGCUCCGGCGCCUAAGGAUGGGUCUGCGGCCUAUCAGGUAGUAGUGGGUGUAGCGUACCUACUAGCCUACGACGGGUACGGGUUGUGAGAGCAAGAGCCCGGAGAUGGAUUCUGAGACACGAAUCCAGGCCCUACGGGGUGCAGCAGGCGCGAAAACUUUACAAUGCGGGAAACCGUGAUAAGGGAACACCGAGUGCCAGCAUCAUAUGCUGGCUGUCCAGAUGUGUAAAGUACAUCUGUUAGCAAGGGCCGGGCAAGACCGGUGCCAGCCGCCGCGGUAACACCGGCGGCCCGAGUGGUGACCGUUAUUAUUGGGUCUAAAGGGUCCGUAGCCGGUUUGGUCAGUCCUCCGGGAAAUCUGAUAGCUUAACUGUUAGGCUUUCGGGGGAUACUGCCAGGCUUGGAACCGGGAGAGGUAAGAGGUACUACAGGGGUAGGAGUGAAAUCUUGUAAUCCCUGUGAGACCACCUGUGGCGAAGGCGUCUUACCAGAACGGGUUCGACGGUGAGGGACGAAAGCUGGGGGCACGAACCGGAUUAGAUACCCGGGUAGUCCCAGCCGUAAACUAUGCUCGCUAGGUGUCAGGCAUGGCGCGACCGUGUCUGGUGCCGCAGGGAAGCCGUGAAGCGAGCCACCUGGGAAGUACGGCCGCAAGGCUGAAACUUAAAGGAAUUGGCGGGGGAGCAC
rnacentral:rRNA from 1 species